GCAGCAACGCCGCGUGGAGGAAGAAGGCUCUCGGGUCGUAAACUCCUUUCAGUUGGGACGAAGCUUCGUCGGUUAAUAGCCGGCUGAAGUGACGGUACCUUCACAAGAAGCACCGGCUAACUACGUGCCAGCAGCCGCGGUAAUACGUAGGGUGCAAGCGUUGUCCGGAAUCAUUGGGCGUAAAGAGCGUGUAGGCGGCCCGAUUAGUCCGCUGUGAAAGUCCAGGGCUCAACCCUGGAAUGCCGGUGGAUACUGUCGGGCUCGAGUCCGGAAGAGGCGAGUGGAAUUCCUGGUGUAGCGGUGAAAUGCGCAGAUAUCAGGAAGAACACCAACGGCGAAGGCAGCUCGCUGGGACGGUACUGACGCUGAGANGCGAAAGCGUGGGGAGCAAA
rnacentral:rRNA from 1 species